rnacentral:rRNA from 1 species
CCUACGGGUGGCAGCAGUGAGGAAUAUUGGUCAAUGGACGAGAGUCUGAACCAGCCAAGUAGCGUGAAGGAUGACUGCCCUAUGGGUUGUAAACUUCUUUUAUAUGGGAAUAAAAUGUUCCACGUGUGGGAUUUUGUAUGUACCAUAUGAAUAAGGAUCGGCUAACACCGUGCCAGCAGCCGCGGUAAUACGGAGGAUCCGAGCGUUAUCCGGAUUUAUUGGGUUUAAAGGGAGCGUAGGUGGAUUGUUAAGUCAGUUGUGAAAGUGUGCGGCUCAACCGUAAAAUUGCAGUUGAAACUGGCAGUCUUGAGUACAGUAGAGGUGGGCGGAAUUCGUGGUGUAGCGGUGAAAUGCUUAGAUAUCACGAAGAACUCCGAUUGCGAAGGCAGUUCACUGGACUGCAACUGACACUGAGGCUCGAAAGUGUGGGUAUCAAACAGGAUUAGAUACCCGGGUAGUC